ACAGUGAUUUUUGAAAGUAUGAUGAAAGAAAGAGAAAUAAAUUUGCGAGCAUGCAAUGCUCCGAACACCACUUUUUUAUUUGAGUGAGCGUUUGGACGACUGACAAGCCACCAUGUGUGUUUGUCUGUCAGUGCGCUAAUGUGCAGUUUUCCGACUUUGCAAACAAGCAUCUUUCAACAGUGGGCGUGACAGUGACUUCAUUUUGCGUAUUUGAACAGUUCUGUAGCAUUUGCCCUCUGUUGCCAGGACCAUAUCUUGCUGGGUCCAGGCAACUGGAUUAUGAGAGCGAUAUUAAGACGUUUGCACAAUAACUGUCAACUGUCGCAGCGCUGUGCUACUUCAUUUUCCUUGAAUUAAAUUGGUCUCUAUUUAAAAUACCCAAAGACAAUUUAACUGAAUUGAAAAAGCUUAACUGCACCAUGCCCGAGCAUCUGGCACGUCGACGCUGAUAAGAAAGCCUGCUGUGAAGAAACAUAACUGCUAAUUAAGUAUAUGUCUAGGAAGGCCUAUGAGUUGCGGACGGACCGAAUCCCAAGACGCACCAGACAGAUGGCAAGAAUGUAGCUCCGAACUUCACCCGCUGUGCCAGACUGAUUGGACCAGUCUUGUGCGGCGUGAUAUCACCGAUCAAAUUGCAGUUCGUUUUUCCGAAGGUAUCCUCAGGACAGGUUCAUCUCUACCUCGGAAGGUCUUCCAGAAUGCUUCAUGGACUGAUCCACAAACAUGUUCUGUAAAUGUUUCUUUAAGGCUGUACUUGAGAUUGUCCAAAGCAAACAUUCCUUGUGAAAUACAUUUAAUAUAUGGAUUUUACACUUUGACAUUGACAGUGGGAAAUUGUGUGUGCACGUACAUGUGUGUUCAGUUCUUACUUAUGUCAUUGUCAAAGGCAUGGUUCAUUUAGAUGUGCAAAAAGGUAGAUAGAGAUCAUCAUUUUUUUGUCCUUGGAUGGUGAUUUGCUUUUCACAUGUACUUAAAUGUUAUACAGUUUCAGCAAACAAUGAAGUCAAAUGUAUUCUUCUGUAUGUAACAGGAUGUGUAGAAUGAAUUUGCCUUGAAAAAUAAAGAACUUAUAGAAUAA